rnacentral:rRNA from 1 species
GAUGAACGCUGGCGGCGUGCCUAAUACAUGCAAGUCGAGCGAACAGAUAAGGAGCUUGCUCCUUUGACGUUAGCGGCGGACGGGUGAGUAACACGUGGGUAACCUACCUAUAAGACUGGGAUAACUUCGGGAAACCGGAGCUAAUACCGGAUAAUAUUUCGAACCGCAUGGUUCGAUAGUGAAAGAUGGUUUUGCUAUCACUUAUAGAUGGACCCGCGCCGUAUUAGCUAGUUGGUAAGGUAACGGCUUACCAAGGCGACGAUACGUAGCCGACCUGAGAGGGUGAUCGGCCACACUGGAACUGAGACACGGUCCAGACUCCUACGGGAGGCAGCAGUAGGGAAUCUUCCGCAAUGGGCGAAAGCCUGACGGAGCAACGCCGCGUGAGUGAUGAAGGUCUUCGGAUCAUAAAACUCUGUUAUUAGGGAAGAACAUACGUGUAAGUAACUGUGCACGUCUUGACGGUACCUAAUCAGAAAGCCACGGCUAACUACGUG